rnacentral:rRNA from 1 species
GUAAAGCGUUAUGUGGAUCGAACAUUAGUAGAGAAGCGUGUGAGCCAGCUGCCAAGAAAAGCCGCUAUUGUUUCAUAAGUACCCGUACCGUAAACCGACACAGGUGGAUGAUGAGAGAAUCCUAAGGCCGGCGGGAGAAGUGUUGUUAAGGAACUCGGCAAAAUGACUCCGUAACUUCGGGAGAAGGAGUGCCACAGAGAUGUGGCCGCAGAGAAAUGGCCCAAGCAACUGUUUAGCAAAGACACAGGUCUAUGCAAAACCGAAAGGUGAGGUAUAUGGGCUGACGCCUGCCCGGUGCUGGAAGGUUAAGAGGAGAGGUUAGAGCAAUCGAAGCUUUGAAUUUAAGCCCCAGUAAACGGCGGCCGUAACGAUAACGGUCCUAAGGUAGCGAAAUUCCUUGUCGGGUAAGUUCCGACCCGCACGAAAGGCGUAAUGAUUUGGGCACUGUCUCAACAACACACCCGGUGAAAUUGAAAUACCAGUGAAGAUGCUGGUUACCUGCGCCAGGACGGAAAGACCCCAUGGAGCUUUACUCCAGUUUGAUACUGGGAUUCGGUACUGUCUGUACAGGAUAGGUGGGAGGCUAGGAAAUGGUGACGCCAGUUGCCAUGGAGCCAACCUUGGGAUACCACCCUUACAGUACUGGGUUUCUGACCUGCAGCCGUAACCCGGCUGGGGGACAAUGUCUGACGGGGAGUUUGACUGGGGCGGUCGCCUCCGAAAGAGAAUCGGAGGCGCUCAAAGGUUCCCUCAGAACGGUUGGAAACCGUUCGAAGAGUGCAAAGGCAGAAGGGAGCUUGACUGCGACACCGACGGGUGGAGCAGAUACGAAAGUAGGACUUAGUGAUCCGGUGGUAUAAAGUGGGAUUGCCAUCGCUCAACGGAUAAAAGCUACCCUGGGAUAACAGGCUUAUCACUCCCAAGAGUUCACAUCGACGGAGUGGUUUGGCACCUCGAUGUCGGCUCAUCGCAUCCUGGAGCUGUAGCAGGUUCCAAGGGUUGGGCUGUUCGCCCAUUAAAGCGGUACGCGAGCUGGGUUCAGAACGUCGUGAGACAGUUCGGUCCCUAUCCGGCGUGGGCGUAGGAUAUUUGAGAGGAGCUGUCCUUAGUACGAGAGGACCGGGAUGGACAAACCUCUGGUGUAUCUGUUGUUUUACCAAAGGCAUGGCAGAGUAGCCAAGUUUGGCAGGGAUAAACGCUGAAGGCAUCUAAGCGUGAAGCCCCCCUCAAGAUAAGAUACCCCAUCUUCGGAGUAAGACCCCUUGAAGACUACAAGGUUGAUAGGCUUCAGGUGUAAGUGUGGUAACGCACUCAGCUGAGAAGUACUAAUAGGUCGAGGACUUAUCU